GAGAACUCAAAGAAUGAAGAAUCAAAGCACAAUCAAGGUUUCGCUAGAAAGAGAACGGCAGCAUGAUCAAAGCCAUGUUCAGAGCCAGCUGGAAAAACUGGAUCUUCUUGAACAGGAAUAUAACAGACUCACCGCAAUGCAGGCCCUUGCAGAAGUCAGUGAACAUGACUUUACCUACUGAUGUAGAAUGCUGUGGCUGUCAGUUGUUCAUAAACAUGGAAAAAAAUGCAAGAGUUGGAGUCCAAACUCCAUGAAGAAGAGCAGGAAAGGAAGCGUAUGCAGGCUCGGGCAGCGGAGUUACAGAGUGGUAUAGAAGCGAACAGACUUAUAUUUGAAGAUAGAAAUACUUCAUGUGUUUCAACCAGCACUAGAAAAAUAAAGAAAAAGAAGUCAAAACCACCAGAAAAGAAAGGUUUUAGGAACAACUUUGGUGCACAGCCACAUUACAGAUUGUGCUUAGGUGAUAUGCCUUUUGUUGCUGGAACGUCCACCAGUCCCAGCCAUGCCGUGGUAGCCAAUGUUCAGCACGUCUUGCAUCUGAUGAAGCAUCACAGCAGAGCCCUGUGCAAUGACCGGGUUGUUAACAGUGUGCCCUUGGCAAAGCAAGCUUGUUCACGAGGUAGUAAGAGUAAGAAGUCAGUGGCGCCUCCCUCCAGCAGUGUUAACGAAGAACUUUCGGAUGUCUUACAGACGUUACAGGAUGAAU
rnacentral:lncRNA from 1 species